AGAGCCAGUUGGGCCCCAGUGGUCAGAGCCUCAGGCGAUCCUGUCGGUGUGUGGCAUCCUCCCUGGCGAGAGGAGAAGCACUGAUUCCAUCCUCCGCCCUCUGGAGUCUGAAUGCUGAAGUCUCUCCGGCUUCUUGUGACAAUUUAUGUAGCAGCCCUUGCUAACGAUACGUGUACGACGCAUAGUGUGAGCGGUGCCCCUCAGCUGGUCUCAAGGACAAACACCCACCAGACCCUCCACCCUCAGCCUGCUGUCACCCAAUUAAUUCUUUAUCUCUCUGCAUUCGAAAGGCAGUCUAUGGGUAUGUUCUCGAAUGGCCUCAGAAAUUACUAAAAGCGUGAAACUCUCCCUACUUAGCUCCAGCACCCACCUUAGGAGAACUGGGGACAUCUCCUCAGCCAGGUUUCUUCUCUCCCUUCAUCUCCAACGGUGAAUUGAUUGGCCUUGACAAACAUCACUCUUACCAGCCAUGAGAUUUGUUAAUAGAAACAGAAAAAAUUUAACAGCACAUCAGCUACGAAGGGAAUUGGAGCCAAAGUCUUCCCGGUGCCCUGGGGAAAGGAGUCGCUGAUCAAGUGACAUUCCUCUUGCCGCCUCUGUCGUGGGCAGGAGGACGGGCGGCGUGCCCAUCGGCAGAUCCUUGGAGGUCUUCUUAUCGGUUGUCAUCUC
rnacentral:lncRNA from 1 species